rnacentral:rRNA from 1 species
UACGUAGGGUGCUAACGUUGUUCGGAAUCACUGGGCAUAAAGAGCGCGUAGGCGGUCUGAUAAGUCAGGUGUGAAAUCCCCCGGCUCAACCGGGGAACUGCACCUGAUACUGUUGGGCUUGAGUGCAGGAGGGGAGAGCGGAAUUCCUGGUGGAGCGGUGAAAUGCGUAGAUAUCAGGAGGAACGCCGGCGGCGAAAAGCGGCUCUCUGGCCUGUUACUGACGCUGAGGCGCGAAAGCUAGGGGAGCAAACAGG